UCCCUCAUAGCUAAGUCGGUAAAGAAUCUGCCUGCAAUGCAGUAGACCUGGGUUCAAUUCCUGGGUUGGGAA
rnacentral:tRNA from 1 species